rnacentral:sRNA from 1 species
CUACCCUGUUAAAGCGUAUUCGAUUGGCAUUAUGGAUUAGCGAAAACUAAACUCAAUUGUGUAUAACACACACGGGUCGACACAUGCACCGGGGUGCUCUUAUGCGUUUUAGCGCAGCUUUGGAGUCGGUGUUAUGGGAUCCGUGGAGGCAUAACC